UUUAAGAAAAGCCAAUAACGCCCAAUGCUUGUUAUGUGGUAAUACGACUACUUGGAAUCGUACUUUUAAUAUAAGGCGACAUUAUUUGUCAUGUGACAUUAAUAAACU